rnacentral:tRNA from 2 species
GCCGGUGUGGUGGAAUUGGUAGACACCCGAGACUUAAAAUCUCGUGGGCGCAAGCCCGUACCGGUUCAAGUCCGGUCACCGGCA